rnacentral:rRNA from 1 species
AUUAGUGGCGAACGGGUGAGUAACACGUGGGCAAUCUGCCCUUCACUCUGGGACAAGCCCUGGAAACGGGGUCUAAUACCGGAUACGACACGGGGUCGCAUGACCUCCGUGUGGAAAGCUCCGGCGGUGAAGGAUGAGCCCGCGGCCUAUCAGCUUGUUGGUGGGGUGAUGGCCUACCAAGGCGACGACGGGUAGCCGGCCUGAGAGGGCGACCGGCCACACUGGGACUGAGACACGGCCCAGACUCCUACGGGAGGCAGCAGUGGGGAAUAUUGCACAAUGGGCGAAAGCCUGAUGCAGCGACGCCGCGUGAGGGAUGACGGCCUUCGGGUUGUAAACCUCUUUCAGCAGGGAAGAAGCGAGAGUGACGGUACCUGCAGAAGAAGCGCCGGCUAACUACGUGCCAGCAGCCGCGGUAAUACGUAGGGCGCAAGCGUUGUCCGGAAUUAUUGGGCGUAAAGAGCUCGUAGGCGGCUUGUCGCGUCGGAUGUGAAAGCCCGGGGCUUAACCCCGGGUCUGCAUUCGAUACGGGCAGGCUAGAGUUCGGUAGGGGAGAUCGGAAUUCCUGGUGUAGCGGUGAAAUGCGCAGAUAUCAGGAGGAACACCGGUGGCGAAGGCGGAUCUCUGGGCCGAUACUGACGCUGAGGAGCGAAAGCGUGGGGAGCGAACAGGAUUAGAUA